UAUGUUUGACUAAUGUAGGGAUAACCUCCUUGCCGCGGGGAGGUGGGAUGUGGGUAAUCCAUGGUAAGUGGAGACAUGCAUCAUGAUUAGGGUUUCAUCAAUAGUAGCAUGGAUAAUGUGCAGGUGGGGGACAUAAAGUGCCUGUGAUACCUUAUGGAUAUGGUGAUAGUUAUCAUAAAUAUUGUGAAAUCACAUGGCCUCCUCUGUUGGCUCUGGAAGGUAUUCUUGGGGGGAGAGGAGAAUUUGUAAGCUGUAAACACUGAACUGAGAACAUGGUGGACACCUGGAAGCUUUCAGGCUGUGUUUGAAGAAGCCCUUCAGCUGCUAUCAUAGGGCAACUACAGUGAGGAUGAGGCCACAUGUCUUUGUAGCACCACUCAUUAUGCAUCUGGUGCAAUGCUACACCACAGAAAAGACUGUCAUGGGAGAAAGUAUGUGAUCCCGAGUUGUGAGUUGAGUACAUAUGAGCAGGCAAGUAUGAGACUGAGACUAAAACUUUAAAUCCUUGAAUUUCUCAAAUUCCUCUGAGCUUCCUUUGGCUACAAGGCAGUUCUACCCAUGCACCGCCUCUGACUUCCACCACCCACCCCCAGCCACCAUCAGCAGCAGCCUUACCAUCAGAGGGGCAGCUGCAUCAGAAGCUGAAGUUGAUUAUCCCAGGGCUCAUUCCCAGCACACCUCCCUGUCUCCAGGCCUGUCACCAGACCCAACAGAGCAAGAAUUGAGGAGCAGAAGGCUAUUCCUACAAGAAAGAACUUAUUCACCAGAAGAAUUUCAAGGCUGGGACAGCAGUGUGGGACUGAAUUAUAAGGGUGUUUGUGCAAGUAGGAGAGAAUAGCAAUUUCUAAUGGGCCAAGUUCAUGAACACUGGAGCAUCCUUCUAGGAUUUGGGACUUAAUGUGCUGGUUAAGCCAUGUACCUUGGGCAUUCGUGUCUCCUAGAUUGGAUAAUUAAAACUCAGACUCAAAGCAUGUGAGUUAAUGAGGUUGAAAUACUGGAACUUCCUUGAUAUGUUUCAGAGAAGGGAGUCUGAAGAUUCAGGGAGACAGAAAUGUGACAAUGUGUCUACCAUGUGCCAUCUCGUAGCCUGCCUCUAACCAUAUCCUCAUAGGAGAGCCUGGAGACAUGCCCUUCACCAAGGCAUUAACACAUUCACUAGUGAGAGGAGCAGAAGCAUCCUUAAAGCAUGUUGUGUUGUCUGUAUCCUGUGGGCUGGAGAUUUGGGAACUGGAUUUCCUGAUCUUGAUGGAGUUAAUGGGAUCCCACACAGCAUAAGCUAGGUGGCAGCUCUUCACCAUUAGACACAGAGUGGGUACAGGUAACAGGAUAGACACAGGGAUGGAGUGGUCACAAAAACACUCUAACUCUCAGGGAUCUCUGAAGUUGGUUAAUUGACCACAAUAUCCCUAAACACAAAGUAAUCUACUAGGGUGCUUUAUAUAUAUAGUAAAAAUUCUAAGACUACUGGCCAGAAAUAUGACUUGAAUCUCUGCUGUGAGGAUUUUCAACUUUUUACUUAAUCCCAAAACCAAAACCGAUUCACAUAUCCACAAUCUCUCAGCCGUGGGUGAGACUGGCCCUCCUUGAAGAAGGAUCCUGCUAUGUUUCUCCACGUGUAUAAUGUGAAUCUUCCUCAAAUAUUUCUCCAAAGGGGACUGCAGCCACUUACUAAGGUGUUAUGCACUGAAAAAAAGGAUAAUAGCUAUGUUUUCCAUGGUCAUUAGAUACUGGCUCCUAACUGAUGCCAGUAUCCAGAGACCCAAAAUAUCUCCAUGGUCCACCCUUCAGGAUGGGGUCUUACAGAGACGAAGUAAUAGAUGGGAUCUUGGCUCUAGAAGGUCUCACAUGGACCCAGUGGCCCAAACACCCACCUGCCAUUUCUCCCCAAUCCUGGAAUAUGUAGUGGUAAUAAAUACACAGAAUUGUCAGAGUAAGUGCUAUGAUAGUUGAGAGAGUCAAGACCAAGUGAAAGGCCUUGUAACUAAUGUGAAUUGAUAACUGUCCCCAGAACAAGACACAUAAAUCAAAAAUUAGCACUUACAGCAAAGAUUUGAGAGACUGCAGGAGUCAUGAUUCCUACCCAAUUCCCAUUUAACUCAACUGUUUGGCUGCUACAAAGGGCACUUAUAUCAUGGAGUGUAACAGUUGGUUAUCACAAAUUUAGCCAAAUGGUACUGCUACUACCAGCUAUGAUCCCAGAAGUAUCAUCUUUACUGGAGCAACCCAGCACAAUUCCUGGCACAUGGAGCUAUGACUUGGCAAAUGCUUUUUGUCCCAUCUCAAUUAGUAAGCAAAAUCAGAAUCAUCCUGUGUGUACAAUAAAGCAGUAUAUGACCAUCUUGAUCCAGAGCCAUGUCAGCUCUCUUGGUGUUUGUCACUGUAGUCUGGAGGGGCCAUGAUUAUUCUCAUAACCUACUAAAUAUCACCCUGGUCUGUUACAUUGGUGACAUUAUGCUAAUUGGUUAUGGUUAGCAGGAAAGAGCAAACACCCCAUAUACCUUAAGAUAUAUCCAUGUCAGAAGAUACUGGACAAAUCCUGUUAAAUUUCAGAUGCCUAGCACAUUGAUGAAGUUUCUAGGGUCCAAUGGUCUGUGCUUAUCAGCAUUAUGCCAUUGAAAUCACAGCCUGUUUGCUGUGCCUUUCAUCUUCCACCGUGAAGAAAGAAGUGCAGCACUUGCAGGCCUCUUUGUGUGUUGUAGACAACAUGCAUCAUAUUUGGUCAUGCUCCUCUGACCUGUUUAUUGAGUAACUCAUAAUGAUGACAGCUUUGAGUGGAGCUUAGAGCAUAAUAAUGCUCUGUAACAAGUCCAGUCUGUGAUGUAAAGCAUUACAAAGCUUUGUGAUGCUGCAGGCCCAAUGGUAUUGAAAACAUGUAUAGCAAACAGAGAUCCUGUAUGAAGCCUCUGGCAAGCCCCAAAAGGUGCUUGACUCCUAGUGUUUGUAAUGAGGACUUCUUCUGUGACAAUUAUUCUCUAUUCGAAAAGCAUUUACUGGACCCUGGUAGAAACUGAAUGUCUAGCCAUCAGACACCAAGAGACUAUGAGACCUGAGCUGUUCAUCAUGACCUUGAUGUUAUUUGAUACAUUGAAGCAUAAAAUUGGCACAUACAGCAGCCUUGCAUUAUAAAGUAUAAAUGGGAUAUACAGAACGGGGCCCCGAUUGUCUGGGAGAUACAAAUAAGCUGCACUAACAGAUGGUAAGACUCCCCUAGAGUCUCAUCUACUGCUUUGCUACCUCUUCCUCAACUCACACCUCUGGCUUCAUGAGACAUUUCCUAUUGCCAGUUAAUGGAGGAAGAAAAAGUAUGAGCCUGGUUUAAUGAUGGAUCUGCAAAGUAUGAGAGUAUACACUGGAAGUGGAUGGCAGCUGCAUUUCCCCCAUGCUGGGAUGUCACUGAAAGAAAGAAAUGAAGGAGACUAAUCCAAUGGGAACAGCCUCAGGCACUACAUCUGGUUGUCCAAUUCAUGCGGAAGGAAAGAUGGUCUGAGCUGCAGAUAUACACCACCGACACAUGAGCAAUGGCUAAUGGGUUGGCUGGCUGCUUUAGGGAAAGAACAAGAUUGGAAGACAGGAGACAAAGAGAUCUGUAAGGAAGAAAUGAACUGGAACCUAGAAUAGGUAAAGAGAGUGAAGACACUUAUAUCCUACAUUGAUUCCUAUCUGAGGGCAUCCAUUGCAGAGGAAGCUCUUACAAACCUAGACAAGAACAAGUGUCUUGUGGAUGUCAGUCCCUACAUACCCCUGGACUUGCUCAGUGGGCCCAUGUAUGAAGUGGGCAUGACAACAGAGAUGGAGGUUAUGCAUGGUCUCAGCAUCAUGGACUCCCCCUCAUCCAUGCUGGCCUGGCUGUGCCAUGCUAGGUGCCUACCUUGUCAAGACCGGAGGCCAACUCUAGGCUCCAGAUAUGGCACCAUUCCAGGGAGAAGCGGCCAACUCUCUGUUAAAAUACCAUAUCAUUGAACCGCUCCUCUAACAGAUAGGGAAACCCUCUGUUCUAAUAGGGAUAGGCACAAAUUCUGAGGGUGGAUUAACCUUCCCGAAUCAAACUGCUCUUUAGCAACAGUGCUGUUAGUUCAAAAAUACAUUAUGCUUUAUCCAUACUGUGAUAUCUGAAACACCAUCUCUGUGGACCGAGAAACUCGCUUUACAGCAAAGAAAGUACAGUCGUGGACUCAUAUCCAUGGUCUUCACUGAUCUUACCAGUCCCUUCACUACUCAGAAGAAUUGGCUUGACAAUAUGAGGGGAUGGUUAUGAAGGUCCCAUGUAUGGCGCCACGUGGGAGCCACAACUUGGGUGCCAGUGAGAACCACCACAACCCAGGAAAUGAGAAUCACUACAACCCAACCAGUGAGAACCACUACAACCCAGCCAAUGAGAACCACCACAACUCAGCCAAUGAAAAGUUGCCACACCCCCAAACCCUCCCUUUCCUCCAAUGGACUUUCAUUUCAAACAGCCCCUUCCAGCUCCCUUCUUUUAUCUUCAAAGGUGAGGAUACUGAAGUUCUAUGAAAUAGAAUUGCUUGCCAAUAUCCAGAGCUAAUUAGGGCAGAUCGGGACCAGAAACCAGAUCUCCUGACUCAGAUAUGGUUAUAUUUCCAUUUGCUUCAUUUUACAUAUACAGAAGCCAAAGUUGGAGACUGAAUGCCCAUGGUCACACAGAUCUGUCUCCUCCCCAACACGGUGCAACCAGAGGGCUGAGACCCAUAUCUGAUUCCUCUCCAAUCCCCAACAUUCAAUAAAUUUUUGUUGAGUUCAAAAAGGUG